rnacentral:rRNA from 1 species
CAGUAGCCGCGGGAAUACAGAGGGUGCGAGCGUUAAUCGGAUUUACUGGGCGUAAAGCGUGCGUAGGCGGCUUCUUAAGUCGGAUGUGAAAUCCCUGAGCUUAACUUAGGAAUUGCAUUCGAUACUGGGAAGCUAGAGUAUGGGAGAGGAUGGUAGAAUUCCAGGUGUAGCGGUGAAAUGCGUAGAGAUCUGGAGGAAUACCGAUGGCGAAGGCAGCCAUCUGGCCUAAUACUGACGCUGAGGUACGAAAGCAUGGGGAGCAAACAGGAUUAGAUACCCCCGUAGUCCCUGUCUCUUAACC